rnacentral:rRNA from 1 species
GGGAUAACACUUGGAAACAGGUGCUAAUACCGUAUAACACUAUUUUCCGCAUGGAAGAAAGUUGAAAGGCGCUUUUGCGUCACUGAUGGAUGGACCCGCGGUGCAUUAGCUAGUUGGUGAGGUAACGGCUCACCAAGGCCACGAUGCAUAGCCGACCUGAGAGGGUGAUCGGCCACACUGGGACUGAGACACGGCCCAGACUCCUACGGGAGGCAGCAGUAGGGAAUCUUCGGCAAUGGACGAAAGUCUGACCGAGCAACGCCGCGUGAGUGAAGAAGGUUUUCGGAUCGUAAAACUUUGUUGUUAGAGAAGAACAAGGAUGAGAGUAAAAUGUUCAUCCCUUGACGGUAUCUAACCAGAAAGCCACGGCUAACUACGUGCCAGCAGCCGCGGUAAUACGUAGGUGGCAAGCGUUGUCCGGAUUUAUUGGGCGUAAAGCGAGCGCAGGCGGUUUCUUAAGUCUGAUGUGAAAGCCCCCGGCUCAACCGGGGAGGGUCAUUGGAGACUGGGAGACUUGAGUGCAGAAGAGGAGAGUGGAAUUCCAUGUGUAGCGGUGAAAUGCGUAGAUAUAUGGAGGAACACCAGUGGCGAAGGCGGCUCUCUGGUCUGUAACUGACGCGGAGGCUCGAAAGCGUGGGGAGCGAACAGGAUUAGAUACCCUGGUAGUCCACGCCGUAAACGAUGAGUACUAAGUGUUGGAGGGUUUCCGCCCUUCAGUGCUGCAGCA